AAUGCUACUCAAUUAUUUGGUGCUUUCUAUCUUUCAGAAGCGAAGGAAAAAUUUAAUGUAACUAUUCUAGUAUUAAUCCUGUCUGUUCUGCUUUUGCAACCAGGGAUGAGAGAGACUAAAUAUAAGCUACUCACCAAACUGAAACAUCUGGUGACAAGAAGUGACACCCUGCAGGCUGCUCGGAUCUGGAUGCUCCCGCAUUAAUCUGGUAACUGGCGGGUCAUGCAACUGACAGAACAAAUUCAUCAUAUGGUGAAGCUGGGAGAGGGACUGAGCCCAAGAGCCCACUGUAAGCACUGGGAACAGGAGGGGACCUCGGCCAGCUUGGGCAAACCACCUCCCCAGGCACAGCCUGAUGAAUACAGUUCCAACAUUAACCAUUUCUGAUGGUACUUACAACAACAACAAGUUAAAGAAAUCAGUUUUA